rnacentral:rRNA from 1 species
CAAGCAGCGGAGCGUGUGGUUUAAUUCGUUGCUACACGAAGACCUUACCUGGGUUUGACAUAUAGGUUGUAGGGAACUGAAAAGGGACCGACCCUUCGGGGAGCCUAUACAGGUGUUGCAUGGCUGUCGUCAGCUCGUGUCGUGAGAUGUUGGGUUAAGUCCCGCAACGAGCGCAACCCUUAUUCUUAGUUGUUUUCCCUUUGGGAUUACCCUCUAAGAAGACUGCCUCGGAUAACGGGGAGGAAGGCGGGAUGACGUCAAGUCCGCAUGCUCCUUACGUCUAGGGCUACACACGUCCUACAAUGGGGUCGACAAUGGGAUGCAAUAUCGCAAGAUGGAGCCAAUCCCCAAACGGCCUCUCAGUUCGGAUUGUAGUCUGCAACUCGACUACAUGAAGUCGGAAUCGCUAGUAAUGGCGGAUCAGCAUGCCGCCGUGAAUACGUUCCCGGGUCUU